GCCUCGCCCUGCCCCUUUCCACCCCGCCUGCCAGUGCUGCCUGCGCGUACUAGGGCCGUCCUCGCUUCAAAUAUUCCUCCCCACAGCACGGAAGUGGUAGGGAAAUUCCAACCCUUUUCCCCCAGAUGGCCUCUGAGGCCCAGAGGCAGAAAAAAAUAAUCCCCCGUCAGGCAGUCCUGAAUUGUCCUUGAAAAAAACAGCUGUUAGAUUGAAAGCUCAUUGAAGGCAGGAACCAUGUUCUCAUCGCUGAGCCAAUUCCCUUCCUUCUUCACUAUGACCAUCUUCCUCCCCAGCCCAAAGUAGGUCGAUGCAUAGUAGGAUCUAGAAAAAACUUCAUAGCCGUGAGCCAGUGAGUUUGCAGUUUAACACGGACUCUAAAGCCAGAAUGCUGGCCAGCCACUUCCAUGGGUGAAAGACUACUCUUGGCUGCAAGCUUCAUUUUCCUCAUCUCUGAAAUGGGGGUGAUACUAUCUAACUCAGAGAUAUAUGGACACGAAUGAAAAGGGCACAUGGACAGUACUGAGUGGGUUCGUUGCCAUUAUCGCGUGGGGCCGGAGAAGCCCGGUCGUUGCACGGACACGUCUCGGCCGAGGCUGUUGUUCUCAAUCCAGCUCAGAAACUGGCUCAAACCGCCCUGAACUGGAUUUGGUGGCUGUUGAGACACAGUUUCUGCCUCUUUGUUAGGGCGGAUCCGGCCUCCUUCGCUCUUCGGUUUCCCUCCCUCCUGCUUUCCCGGAGUCACCGACAGCCCUUCCCCUCCCCCUCGCCUCUCCAGUUGGGCAUUUUCUUUCUUUUAUCUUCUUUUUUUUUUUUUUUUUUUUUUUUACCCUUCCCUGGGCCCAGGCCCCACGAGGUCGAUUAAAUUCUUUAAUAAAAUAGUGGAUUCCGGCUGCAAAUCCUCAGCUUCCAUCCAUGAAUUGUUCAGUUCUGCUU